CAGCAGCCGCGGUAAUACGAAGGGGGCUAGCGUUGUCCGGAAUUACUGGGCGUAAAGCGCACGCAGGCGGCUCGAUAAAUUAGAAGUGAAAGCCUUGGGCUUAACCUGAGAAUUGCUUUUAAGACUGUCGAGCUAGAAUCCAGAAGAGGGUAGUGGAAUUCCGAGUGUAGAGGUGAAAUUCGUAGAUAUUCGGAAGAACACCAGUGGCGAAGGCGACUACCUGGUCUGGCAUUGACGCUCAUGUGCGAAAGCGUGGGGAGCAAACAGGAUUAGAUACCCCUGUAGUCCCUGUCUCUUAUAC
rnacentral:rRNA from 1 species